rnacentral:rRNA from 1 species
UUAUCUCUGUAGAGUCUGCAUAUCAAUAAGCGGAGGAAAAGAAACUAACUAGGAUUCCCUCAGUAACGGCGAGUGAAGCGGGAAGAGCUCAAAUUUGAAAUCUUCAAGGUUUUACCUUGACGAAUUGUAGUUUAAAGAAGUGUUUUCUGUUGGAGUUUUGGUAAAAGUUCUUUGGAAUAGGACAUCAUAGAGGGUGAGAAUCCCGUAUUUGACCAUUAUUUUCAGCUGUGUGAUACACUUUCAAAGAGUCGGAUUGUUUGGGAAUGCAGUCCAAAAUGGGUGGUAAAUUUCAUCUAAAGCUAAAUAUUGGCGAGAGACCGAUAGCGAACAAGUACCGUGAGGGAAAGAUGAAAAGAACUUUGAAAAGAGAGUUAAACAGUACGUGAAAUUGUCAAAAGGGAAGCGUUUGACACCAGUGUUGUUUUCUCGAAAAUCAAUUAAAAAUGGCCGGAUUUUGUGUUGUAUUGACCUUAAAAGCUUUCUUCACUCUUUUCUUGUCUUUUUUAAUGCACUUUUCGUUUAACAAGUCAACAUCAGUUUCUUUUGUUGUAAAAGGGUCAUUGGAAGGUGGCUUUCUUUUCGGAGAAAGUGUUUAUAGCCUUUGGCCUCUGCAAUCGGAGAGAUUGAGGUCUGCAGCGUAGAUCCUUCGGGGUUAGAUACAUUUGUGCUAAGUUAUAGCCUUUCAUAGACAACUUGUUGACUAUGAUCAGUCAUGUAGCUUACUCGCUUAUGCUAUUUUACCUACGCUUAGGAUGUUGAGUAGCGACAUACGCAC